rnacentral:rRNA from 1 species
UGGGGAAUUUUGGACAAUGGGCGCAAGCCUGAUCCAGCCAUGCCGCGUGCGGGAAGAAGGCCUUCGGGUUGUAAACCGCUUUUGUCAGGGAAGAAAUCUUCUGAGUUAAUACCUCGGGAGGAUGACGGUACCUGAAGAAUAAGCACCGGCUAACUACGUGCCAGCAGCCGCGGUAAUACGUAGGGUGCAAGCGUUAAUCGGAAUUACUGGGCGUAAAGCGUGCGCAGGCGGUUUUGUAAGACAGAGGUGAAAUCCCCGGGCUCAACCUGGGAACUGCCUUUGUGACUGCAAGGCUUGAGUGCGGCAGAGGGGGAUGGAAUUCCGCGUGUAGCAGUGAAAUGCGUAGAUAUGCGGAGGAACACCGAUGGCGAAGGCAAUCCCCUGGGCCUGCACUGACGCUCAUGCACGAAAGCGUGGGGAGCAAACAGGAUUAGAUACCCUGGUAGUCCACGCCCUAAACGAUGUCAACUGGUUGUUGGGAAGGUUCCUUCUCAGUAACGUAGCUAACGCGUGAAGUUGACCGCCUGGGGAGUACGGCCGCAAGGUUGAAACUAAAUGAAUUGACGGGGUCAUAGCUGUUUCCU